GAUGAACGCUGGCGGCGUGCUUAACACAUGCAAGUCGAACGGGGAUUAUUUCAUUGAAGCUUCGGCAGAUUUGGCUUAAUCCUAGUGGCGGACGGGUGAGUAACGCGUGGGUAACCUGCCUUGUACAGGGGGAUAACAGUCAGAAAUGACUGCUAAUACCGCAUAAGCGCACAGGACCGCAUGGUCCGGUGUGAAAAACUCCGGUGGUAUAAGAUGGACCCGCGUUGGAUUAGCUAGUUGGCAGGGUAACGGCCUACCAAGGCGACGAUCCAUAGCCGGCCUGAGAGGGUGAACGGCCACAUUGGGACUGAGACACGGCCCAGACUCCUACGGGAGGCAGCAGUGGGGAAUAUUGCACAAUGGGGGAAACCCCGAUGCAGCGACGCCGCGUGAAGGAAGAAGUAUCUCGGUAUGUAAACUUCUAUCAGCAGGGAAGAAA
rnacentral:rRNA from 1 species